rnacentral:lncRNA from 1 species
UUUGGGAUCUUUUUGGGGCUAAAAACAUAAAAUAAGUGUAAUAUGCACUUUUUAAAUGGUUACUGGCGUGGGGCAUGUAAAUUUUCAAUUUGUAGUUGCUGUAAAGUGUAAGGGUUGGAUAUUUUCGAUGCUGUAUUUUCUCUAUUACUUGCCUAUCAUAAAAUGAUAGUAUGGAUCCAAAGCUAUGAACUGAUAAAUUUGAUG